UGCUAUCUGCUGUCAUCCGAGCCAG
rnacentral:piRNA from 1 species